GAUGAACGCUGGCGGCGUGCCUAAUACAUGCAAGUCGAGCGAACGGACGAGAAGCUUGCUUCUCUGAUGUUAGCGGCGGACGGGUGAGUAACACGUGGAUAACCUACCUAUAAGACUGGGAUAACUUCGGGAAACCGUAGCUAAUACCGGAUAAUAUUUUGAACCGCAUGGUUCAAAAGUGAAAGACGGUCUUGCUGUCACUUAUAGAUGGAUCCGCGCUGCAUUAGCUAGUUGGUAAGGUAACGGCUUACCAAGGCAACGAUGCAUAGCCGACCUGAGAGGGUGAUCGGCCACACUGGAACUGAGACACGGUCCAGACUCCUACGGGAGGAAGCAGUAGGGAAUCUUCCGCAAUGGGCGAAAGCCUGACGGAGCAACGUCGCGUGAGUGAUGAAGGUCUUCGGAUCGUAAAACUCUGUUAUUAGGGAAGAACAUAUGUGUAAGUAACUGUGCACAUAUUGACGGUACCUAAUCAGAAAGCCACGGCUAACUACGUG
rnacentral:rRNA from 1 species